rnacentral:rRNA from 1 species
CAGUCGCCGCGGUAAUACGUAGGUCCCGAGCGUUGUCCGGAUUUAUUGGGCGUAAAGCGAGCGCAGGCGGUUAGAUAAGUCUGAAGUUAAAGGCUGUGGCUUAACCAUAGUACGCUUUGGAAACUGUUCAACUUGAGUGCAAGAGGGGAGAGUGGAAUUCCAUGUGUAGCGGUGAAAUGCGUAGAUAUAUGGAGGAACACCGGUGGCGAAAGCGGCUCUCUGGCUUGUAACUGACGCUGAGGAGCGAAAGCGUGGGGAGCGAACAGGAUUAGAUACCCCAGUAGUCCCUGUCUCUUAUACA